CUAANACAUGCAAGUCGAACGGGACCCGCAAGGGUUCAGUGGCGGACGGGUGCGUAACACGUGAGGAACAUGUCCUUCGGCGGGGAAUAGCCGGCCUAACGGCCGGGUAAUACCGCGUACGACCGUUGGGGCGCAUGCCCUGGCGGUGAAAGCAGCAAUGCGCCGAUGGAGUGCCUCGCGGCCUAUCAGCUAGUUGGUGAGGUAAUGGCUCACCAAGGCGACGACGGGUAGCUGGUYUGAGAGGAUGAUCAGCCACAUUGGGACUGAGACACGGCCCAGACUCCUACGGGAGGCAGCAGUGGGGAAUAUUGCGCAAUGGGCGAAAGCCUGACGCAGCGACGCCGCGUGUGGGAUGAAGGUCUUCGGAUUGUAAASSASUGUCGGGAGGGACGAAUGCGGCGCAAGGCGAGUGACGGUACCUCCAAAGGAAGCACCGGCUAACUCUGUGCCAGCAGCCGCGGUAAUACAGAGGGUGCGAGCGUUGUCCGGAAUCACUGGGCGUAAAGGGCGCGUAGGCGGCUUGGUAAGUAGGGGGUGAAAUCUUGCGGCUCAACUGCAAGGCUGCCUCCUAAACUGCCUGGCUGGAGCACGGUAGAGGCAGAUGGAAUUCCCGGUGCAGCGGUGGAAUGCGUAGAGAUCGGGAAGAACAUCGGUGGCGAAGGCGGUCUGCUGGGCCGUUGCUGACSCUGAGGCGCGACNGCGUGGGGAGCAAACAGGAUUAGAUACC
rnacentral:rRNA from 1 species